rnacentral:rRNA from 1 species
GAUGAACGCUAGCGGCAGGCCUAAUACAUGCAAGACGAACGGUAAGUUUGGUAGCAAUACUGAACCUAGAGUGUCGUAAGGGUGCGUAACACGUAUGCAAUCUGCCCUCAACAGGAGGAUAGCUCGCCGAAAGGCGAAUUAACACUCCAUAAGAUCGUACUGUGGCAUCACAGAGCGAUUAAAACUCCGGUGGUUGAGGAUGAGCAUGCGGAUGAUUAGCUAGUUGGUGAGGUAACGGCUCACCAAGGCAAUGAUCAAUAGGGGAACUGAGAGGUUGAUCCCCCACACUGGCACUGAGAUACGGGCCAGACUCCUACGGGAGGCAGCAGUAGGGAAUAUUGGACAAUGGGCGCAAGCCUGAUCCAGCCAUGCCGCGUGCAGGAAGAAGGCCUUCUGGGUUGUAAACUGCUUUUGCCAGGGGAUAAAAAGUCCCUGCGGGGAAAAUUGAAGUACCUGGUGAAUAAGCCACGGCUAA